rnacentral:rRNA from 1 species
AACGGCAGCGGGGGAGCUUGCUCCCGCCGGCGAGUGGCAAACGGGUGAGUAAUACAUCGGAACGUGCCCAGUAGUGGGGGAUAGCCCGGCGAAAGCCGGAUUAAUACCGCAUAAUCUCUGAGGAGGAAAGUGGGGGACCUUCGGGCCUUACGCUGAUGGAGCGGCUGAUGUCGGAUUAGGUAGUUGGUGAGGUAAAAGCUCACCAAGCCGACGAUCUGUAGCUGGUCUGAGAGGACGACCAGCCACACUGGGACUGAGAUACGGCCCAGACUCC